GCUGGGAUUUCAGGGACCAGCUCUUCUCUCUGCAUCAGUCCAGCAGAAGCAGCUCCAGCUGGCUCACUUUGGGGUGAGCUGGGAAGGCUUGCUGAUCUGUCAAUACUUCAAGAAAUGCCAGGGCUAGGAAUCAUGGAGAAAGGGUUUUGUGAAAUCUGGUAUUUAAACCUCCCACUCGAGUGAUGCUGAGGAGAGCUGGCAAUGUAGCAUUGGCUUAUCAGGAGCUGUGUGGGCAGGUCAGCUUAAAAAAAAAUGUUGUGUGAUCAGCACCAGAGGUGAAGGAAAGAAGCCGGUGUCUUGUCAGGUACAGAGUUUAAAUGGGGUCAGAAUUUCAUUUUAUUAAAAAGAUUGUUUUAUUUAAAUAAUAAAUGACAGUAUGUUCACCGUUGCCAGGGGCUGCUGAAGGGCAACCAGGCAGGUCUGAGCAAAGUAGGGACUAAAGGCUUUGAAUUAUUUUCUGUCAUUAAUAACUCUGAACUGAGCACUGCAAAUUCAUGUAAAAGCCAUCUCUGCUUUCAUGCAUGAGAACAGUUUGGUUUGUGGACAGAUCUGCUGUGAUCAGAGGCUCAUUCUAUCUUAAAAAAAGAAAAAAGUUGGCCUCUGAGCUUCACCUGUCAAUAAAAGUCCUGGAAAAUGAGUCCUUGCAGGCUUCUGCAAGGCCAUAUGUAACUUAUCUUGUCCAAUGCAGGUCUCUAAUUGGCAGUUUAAAGACAUUUUUAAAAAAAGAAAUCUGUUAACAGUCAGUCUAUUUUUAGUUUAGAGAUGGACUUUAUAUGGUCAUAAAGUAAAAUUCUAGCUUAAUUAUGAGAAUCAAAGUACAUUGGCUUAAUUGCACAAAGAAGUGCACACAAGAGUGCAGAGAGGACACGCUUUACAAGUGAUUAUCUGCUGAUGAAAUACUACAUGGAGCAACAAGUGGGGGCAUUCCAGGCUUCAGAAAGCAUCCUGAGGCCAGAACUGCUGAGGUGCUGGAGGAGAAAUGGCAUCAAAUCCUCUGCAGAUGGUCAGGCUUCCUUCCCACCACAGCACUGGCUGCCUUGCUUUGUAAUUGCGGAGACUUGAACCUGGACAGGAUCGGAGGAGUGAUUUAUAACCAAAGCCUUGGUUGAGGAGUUGAUUUGUGUUCUGGAGAUGCCUCCAGGAGCUGGAGAAGCAGCUGUGGGAGGUUUGAAUGGCAGAGGAUUUGGUGAUGCAAGUACAAACUCCCAAUGAUUAGGAGAUCCAUCAAACUAUUCCCCUGUUGAUUGGACACAUAGACCUUGAAAGGUAUCAAAGUGCUUGGGCCAAGCCUGAGGCUGUUAUUAUUGAAGCUGAGAUACCUGGGAAGCUAAAUUGGGUGUCCAGGAAGGAGAUAGAACUUAGGACAUGUCAGUAGGUCUUCCUACAGUCAGUGUGUGUGCCUGAGAAAAGGCUGUGACAGGCAAGUGACAUGAGGAGCCCUGACUUCACAGCAUUCCCACUUCAGCCCAGGUGUCCCCAGACUGGUGGCACGGGAGGUGGGCAGGGUUUGGGGAGGACAGACUGAGCACAGCUGCUGGGAGGAUGAGGCUGUUGGGGCUGGGGAGUGGAGUUGUAUGCACGGGAGGGACUGGGCUGGAGUAAGGAAUGGGCACAACAGGGUGGAAACAGGAGACAAAAAUAGUUGUUGUAGACUGUUCAUGAUGAGAAAAGACCUCAGCUGGUCUGAUUGAAACAUGGUGGGGGUGAUGGAAAUCAAUAAGAUACUGCAUUACCUGCCAUUGUAGCAGGUAUGUUAGGUCAUAAAGGAGGAACACUACAUCUGAAAGGUUGCUGUAAAAUCUGAGGAAAUUGGAGUGCUGACGACCAAACAGCCACAUUUAUGUUGGAUAUAAAUUCUGUAUUUUAAUAACAUGGAGGUAUUAGGAAGUUUUCUAUUCCAGACAAAAGGAAAGUAGAGGAUUUCAUGGGCCUUGGGGAAAAACCAGACUCAUGCAUCUUCAUAAACCUGUUAGAAAAAGUAAGUUCCAUCAUUACCAUGCUAUCUGGCCAGAUUGUUUGGGAGGGAGCUGCCUAACACUUUGGUGAGCAAACAUCUUGAUUUACUUAAAGGACCAUUUCUUGUAACAGCCUGGUCUGGAGUUAGCCUUUGUUUAGGACUAAAACACGAGAACUGAUUCAAGAUACAAUUAUUGUUGAGUCGUUAAGUAGCAGUGACCACCUGAGGGUCACUGAAUUGCAGGUUCAGCAUUCUCAGGGGUAGAAGGUGGACUAAAAGUGAGUCUUGUGUUCCAAAAUAUUUUAAGGGAGAAUAUCAUGAAAAUGAAAUCCUUAGACUUACCAUGGAUACCUGGGAAGGUUACUGACGUCCAGGUGAGGCAGAACUCUGUCGUGAAAGAGCAAAUGACCCUAAAACUGUUGUUAAAAACAGUUAUAAAGGAAGGGACUUCUGGAGUUCAGGAAGAUUCCACCAAAGAACAGAGGUCCAGCUCUAGAGGAGCAGACUGGAAGAACCAUGUGGUGGGGCAGGUAACCAUGGAAAUGCAGCAGUUUAGGAGGGGCUUUGCUGAGCUGGGGGCUUUGGGGAGCCAAUGCUGUCUGAAGGACAUCCCAGACAAGGCUGGGGAGAAAAUCUGGUUGUGCAGGACUGAAGACAGAAUGCAUUUCCUGCACUGCUUCAUGCCACUGAAGCAACUCCUCCUUGUCAUUCUGGAGCACAGGGAGUGUUUGAGAGCCUGCUGUCCAUCACCUCAGCCUUUUGGGUGAGAUAAGGAACCUUCCUCUGAAACUCAAGUGAGGCAGAGAUGCUGGAGCAAUGUAGGAAAUUCAAGUGGAGGAGCAACAGGUUUAUCAAGGGAUUUUAAAAAAGCUUGGGACUGAAACAGGUACUAACAAAAACAGGGCUGUCAAAAAACAGCUUAGUAUUCUCCAUGACUAGAUAAUGUCCUAAUGUCAGGUUACUUUUUUUUUAAUUAAAGUAUUAAUCGGGGCACUGGGAAUUGCAGAUCAGCAACCCUGAACUCCAGUUUGAGGAGGAGGAGCUGAAGUGCUUUAGCUCUUCAGUGUAUUAGAGGUGGAAAGCAGCAUACUUUCUACAGAGAAAGGGGGUUGGACCAGGUGAUCCCUUCCAGCCCAAUCCAUUCUUUGAUUCUAUGAUCAGUCUGGUUUGCUGGGGCACCUACAAGAAUGUCUGAACACAUUGAUAAACAGCAGGAUAAAAAACAGUCUUAAUGAGAAGAGAAAUACCACAGAGUCCUUCUUUGGUUGCAGUUGAUAUUUGUCACUUGGGGAGCAAAAAGUAGACUAAAGUCUAGUUAGAGACUGGUGUUUAAAGGCUUCCAAAUCUGCAUCUUCAGCCUUCGAGCAAAUGAGUUCCAUUCAAUGGUUUCAUUAAACCCAAAGCUGCUGGGUGGAGAAGGGUUGAUUUUCAUGAAACUUUUGUGGUGAUCACCACUAGGUCCAGGUUGCAAAGUCUGGUCUCAGGGGAGAAACAAGCCCAGAAUACUGGGUAAUAUCUAGAUUUCUCCUGUAAAGCAACAGUCCCAGUUCAAAUUCCUGCCUUGAGCUGGACUUGCAGGUCUGCCAGAUCCCAGAGUGUGCCUCAGCAGCUGAUACUGUGGAUAUGUUCUGUUUUCUUUUCUUUUUACUAAGAAAAAACUCAAAGGUCUUGAUUUUUAUAAUGGGCAGUAGGAAUGAAGGAUAUGAAGUAUAAUGAAGGAGUAGGGAGAGAGGUCUGGGCAGCAUCUUCCAGUUCUUGCCUAGAUCUGUCUUUGAGGGAGGAUUGUUGGUGUGGACACAUGCAGACCUGUGUUACCUCUCUUCCCAAGAGACCCAGGAGAACCCACAGGUAACAGGUGUCAGCCACAGCAACCUUUUGCUGCUCUGGCUGUUUUAGGCUUCUUAAAAGUCUAGGAAUCAUGGCAAAAUACUCUGUCUUCCCCCACUUUCCCUGUCUCCAGUAGAUCAUGGUACCAAAGAGUGAGUGCUUUGAUAAGUCGUUGGAGAUUGCAAUAGAAGCAGGAUUACUGCAGGCACCUCUGCUUUCAGUCAGAAUUUAUGUUUAAAGACAAGGAGCAGGGUGGUUGAGUCAUACUGGAGAAGUGACCCAACCUGGCUGUGGCUGGAAAAUUGAGAAGAGCAUAAGGUUUGGUAGGGUGAGCAUGGGGCUAACCCUGGGAUGUGUGAGGCAACAGGCAACAGGUUAGGGGGGGGAAAAAAGCUAUUUUUAAUACUCCAGCAGUAUGCCAAGCUGUAAGUGAAUUGUUCAUUCAGGAAGCAGAGCUCAGACUGGGGUAGCAGACAAAUGAAGGUGUGUAACCUGCCACAGGAAUCCUGCACAUUCCAGGUGUAGGUGCAGGUCUGUGAGGUGCUGAGCAGGAGCUCCUCUGUACCACAGCUCGUUAGACCCCCACGCUGUCCCUGUGCUGCUCUCCCUGGUAAUCAGGUGGUUGUCACUGGCACAACCUUUGUCCCUACCCCUAGAAAUCCAUUAGAUUGCUCACUUCUAGGUAAAUUAUACCAGCUGACUUUGAACUACUCAAUAUAAAACCGUUGUGGUAUGCUUGCAUGAUAGUUAUUUGAUGUAAGACAACAAUUUCUUGUGCUCUCUCUUUAGGAAUUUGGGCUUUGAGUUUCACUGGGGUGUGUUGUACGUACCCAACUGCACAGGAUCAGGCCCAUCUCUGUUUUAAAAUGUAUUUCACAUCUGCGAUUAGAAAUGUUGUAGGAAACAAAUUAGAAGAUCGAGUUGUCUGUCACAGGCUCAGAUGAUCAUAGCGACUUGUGCUAAAGGCUCUGUCCUCGUAGAGACCUGCACGGCUGCUUUGUGUAACUGCUGUCAGAGCUCUGGCGUUCUGGUAAUAGUGUUUUUUAAUAAAUGUACUGAGUAUACUCACCUUUAAAUCCUGUUAGGUACCAAUAAUUAUCGCUGGUAUUCUGUACAUUAGCUCUGUACUAGCAUUCACAUUGGACUAGGCUUAAUAGCGUGAGUGUCAAAGAUGACUUGAAAAAGGAAAAUUAAUUUAUACCCUUUUCGUGUGGUUCUACCCCGUGUAGUGGGUGGUUUGUGGAAGUACCAGAAGUGCUACAACUGUCUUCCCCCUUUUUACUUGCUGUGAUUCUCUGCAGCAGGACAUACAGAUUUAAGUCUGUUUUUCCCUCCUUUGGAGACACUGAGAUAUUAUCAUGGGGAGGUCCAUGGACAUACCCAGACAAGCUGGGCCCUCAUGCAGAGAUAAGGCAUCUUUUCCAUUUGGUUUUUUUUUCUUCUGCUGUCCAUCCUCCAAGUUUUUGUUUGUUUUUGUUUUUUUUUAAUGUAAAAAAGUUAUUCCCUCAUCUGUCGGUGCAACAUCCUCUAGGAUAUUUGUGGUCUUCCAGGAAAGGUAGACAGGACUGGAAUAACUAAUGCCAAAAAUUGCCCAUGGCAAGGGAGGGAAAUCCUUGUUUUCAAGGCAAACCCCAUCCAGACUUUUUUCAGCACACCACAAGGGUAUAAAUCCCUACUUUUUCUUUUCCAGGUGAUCUUUAAGGCCAAAUAGCAGAGGGCAGGGUUUUGCCCUCCAGCAGGGUUCCGGUGCCGUGCGGCAUCCGCGCUGUCCCACAGGCCUGAGCCCCCGGCACCCCGGCAUUUAGGGAGCUCCGUGGGGUUGGCUUUCACCGUGUCCUCAAUUUGGAUCCCCAGGGCAAAAAAAUUAGGACUUUCUCAGUUAAAGAAAAAACCAAAAGUGAAGCAAAAUCUCUGGAGAGUUGUGUUUCCCCACAGCAGUGACGGCCCCUCAGCACCCACUUCUGUUCAGCCAGGACCCCCGGGUCAGUCCUGCUGGGUUUUUAGCCAUCUUGACCUCAUGUUUGCAAAUAUUAUUGGUAAUAUAAUGCUCUAUGUACAAAUGUCUGUGUGGCUCAUGUGUAUGUUUCUGUGGUUCAAGUCAGCCACAGACUUCUGGAAUUUCAUUGUACUUUGGUUAAAUGUUGGACUUUUAACUCUUCUACUGUAUGGCUUCUUGAUUUCUCUUGUCCAAUGUGGACCAACUCUAUUUUUGGAAAUAAAUAAGCAUGUAAAUAAAAUGAAUGGGUUUAUGCCACUUAAAAAGAAAAUGCUUUAUUUAAAAUAUACACUCAGUCUUGUAUAUUUUAUGGUAUCUCAGGGAGCAGCCGAGGCUCAGGCCCCAGCAGCCUUGUGCUGAGAUACCAUAUUAUGUACAAAUUCACUUCCAAGUGCUUUUGGAAGCAGACUUCCCAUCUCCUGAGCCAAGCCCCCGUAGGACCAGCCUUGCAGAGGAGGGAGGGGGGAAUCCAGAAACACAUAGUUUAAGGGGAGUAAAGGAAACAAACACGAUUUUCCUCUCAACACAAGGCUUCUGGUUUGAGGUGUCCAGGUGCCAGAGACACUGCCAGGUGCAGGGAUGCCAUGGGUCGGUUCUCAGCUCCUGCCUGGGAGCACUUGGAGAUCAGGAGCACAAUGACAUCUCUUUUUUAUUAUUUUUUUUAAUAUUUUUUUUUAAUUCUCCAUAUAAACCAAUAUUUACCAGUAAUCCUGUGUUUCUGUUUUUGUUUUUUGGCAGACUUUUACCAGUAAAUAUCGGUUUAUUCCUGAAACCAGAAGCCCUAAACAUACCUUUGUUUAUAAGGACAGAGGUGUUCCUGCCUGCCCACCACGGGAACUGGUAGAAACCCCUAAAUUGUUCCUCCUCUCCGAAGCCUGCGGAAAGCAAAUGUGACAUGGGGAGGAGGGAGAGAAUGUGAACGUGGCCCUUCCUAAACUCAUUGUAAACUCCUCCUCCGAGGCUGGGGAAAAGGGCAAGUGAAAGAUCUGAUCCUUAAAAGGACAUCACUGGGUGUCUGAGACCCCAAAAGCAGCUGGCAAUUUUUAAGGACUCAAAUUGCUUUUGGUUUAUCCCAAGAGAAAUUGACUUGGGAGUGUUGAAGUCUCCUUUUUCCCCACAAGUAUUUGCCACCCAAACACUGCACGUUUUGUUAAUACCCCAGAAAACAAAGAACCUGAUGAGGGAUAGAAAAUCAGUUGACUGCAUGGUCACAUCCAAUUUUUUUCUCCCAAGCAAACAAAAUGAAAAAAAAAACCAAAAAACCCAAACCAAAGCCCAUCCCUGACCCUCCCCCCCGCAAAAAAACCCCUAAAAAAGCAAGUCAAAGAGGAUCUGAAAUGCCCAGUCUGGUUUUGUCGUACUUGGUUGACAAGGGUGUUUUUGGCAUAGCUGCAGCCCAACUAUGUCCCUUUAAGGAGCACCGUGGCUCAUUUCCUCCUCACAAACCCUGAGCUGAGGGUUUUGCUGUUCCUGAGAGCAGAUCGAAGCUCCUGCAGCCUUAGUUGGAGUCCAGAAUGAGGGGAGCCCUUCCAGCUGUGCACUUUGAGCUGAAAACUACCUUUCCUCCCCUUUUGCAGCCUGGGUGGUUCUGAUUGCUGGCAGUUCUGUAAUACAACCUUAAUCUGAGCAGUUGAGGCUGGUCCUACCUUAUCUUCAGACGUCUUGCGGAGGACUCCUGUUACCAGUUUGGUACUCAAAAGCUACACCCCACCAUCAGAAGUCACUUUUUGUUUUUUUCCAAAGGCAGUGAUAGCUCACCCUCUCUAGCUCUAAUGGAAAACCUGAUAAUUGCAAUGCAACUUUCUAAUAAAUUGUUCAUAUAUUCAUAAUUCCGUUGCAAUCCCAAAUUGGAGAAGAGAUCUGUUAUAAGGUAUAUAUUAGUCUAGAUUUUUCUUAUUGUAAAUACUGUAAUUUUAUAAUACUGUCAAUAUUUUAUUAACUUAGAAAUAUUUAACAGAGUUUAAUCUAUGGUAGUUGAUUUAUUUAUAGGUUUAUGUUGCAGCCAAUUACAUUCUAAUGUAAGAUUAACUUUCAGCAUGUAAACUUUGAGUGAAUAUAUCUUUGGAAAGAUUAAGAGAGAAAAAUCUCGCUCUUAAUCUGUAGUAUUUAUCCCCAAUUCCCAGUUGGGAAUUAUUUAACGGAAUGUUAGGAGGUUUUGAGAGCUCAUGAAUCUAAUAACUGCAGUUGGAUUUGAAAACUUGAAUUUUGAGAUGUACUUGGCUCUUUGACCCUGUGAAAAAGUUCAUUUCAGUACCUGACCUCUCUAGCACAGAAGUCUUUAUUUUGAGCAAAGGGACACUGUCAGAUCAAUUUUAGUUUCUUGCUUUUUUGGGGGGGAAAAAGAAAGCGCAGAAUGCGGCGUGUUAAUUCCUUUUGGAUGGCAAGGGGAACAGCUCCUCUCCCGAGGCUUUGGGUCCCUGGCCACAGCAGCUUCACCCCGGGCAGCGGCGGAACUCCGGCCGCUCCGAGGGCUCCCGCAGUCCCUGCAGCCGCAGCUCGGGGAGAUGGGCAAAAGUGCACAAAGUCUCAAACUUUUGACCGUUUUUGACCAAAGCGUUUGGUUUUUAAGAAUUGAAAUCUCUCUCUCUCUUUUCACCUGAUGGUGUCCCUUUAGCAUCAUAAAGAUGUUCAUGUUCUCUGAAAACCGUGAGAAGUGAUUUUCUUUUCAAGGCAGGGGAGAAUUGGUCUGUCAUGUGUUUGCAACGCAACUUGCAUAAAAAUACCAAAAAUAUCUUGAGGGUUUUCACAGGCGUUGGUAUUUUUUGAGUGUAAAAGUUAAUCUUGAUUAGAGAUGUGCCAAUCUUUACUGCUUUCCUGUAGUGUUGUUACACUUAGGCAUUUCAGUUCACUUACAAAUAUAUACUGUAACAGUAUACUUUGUACAGAUUUAUUUAAAAUUUAUUUGAAAACUGAAAUAAAGUAGGCAGAAAAUAAAGAUAUUUAUUUUUCAUUUGACUAUGUAAGAAGGUAUCAUUCUUUUGGUUUUAGUGCACUGGUGUACCAAGCCUCAGAACCACUGCUUUCUCCAGCUCAUAGGAUGCUUUUCCAGACUGUGGAUACGUGUAUGUGUACUGCUGUGUUGAUAAGUAAAUGCCAACGAUGGAGUUCGUUGCUUUUAUACAUCCCAAAGAGAAGUUCUCCACCGUUCACUGUCUGUUUUCUGACCGAAAAGGCGUGUGUUUGUGAACAGUGUUCACGCCAGCUCUGCCAUCCCACCCUCACAUCAGCUCACACCAAUGCCAGGAUGGGAGGAGUUGCCUGCGUACCUUCCCCAAAACACCCUGGGCCACAGUGGCAUCGUCAGGGAGCAGUUCAAACCUGUGUCCUUUGGGCUUUGUGUAAAGCAAAUGCAGAACAAGAAAAAUCGAGAUGUUAAAUCCAUUAGAAAAACAAUUCCUUAUUGUACAGUAGUAUGGAGAUCUCUAGUCAACCUGCCAUUAAUAAUAGAUUCUUAUUUUUUGAAUGAUCUAUUUAAAAGAACAGCAAGCAUUGUAUUUGCUAGUAAAUCUGAAGUGUUUACAUGGAAUUACUAAAUAAAUUAUUUGAUCUAAGAUGGCUCUUAUCAGUGCUGAUUUUUAAUAAUGGAAAUUUGGUUUGGCAGCUGCAUUUUUAGUUCGUGCUGUUCUUUAAAAUCUUCCAAAGCAGGUUUUUUUUUUUUUUUUCACUGCCUCCUUGUGGUUCAAAUUAGGUUCUGAGGAAGAGGCAAACCAUGCCUCUCCCUGCAAGGCCUGACAGGAGUGCUAGCUCACGUUUUCCAACCCCUUCCAUGAGGCUUUCCCUUCACAUCCCAAACACCUGAGCUGGAGCAGGAUGCUCUGAGCCCUGCAGCACUCACAGCUGCCCACGGUUCUCACCAGGCUGAGGCCUGGGGCCUGGAGACACAGGAUGGGGUUUUUUAGCAGAAAGGGAUAGAAGUAGAAUAGGGGAUAGAAGCAGAACAUCCUCCUGUGAGGUAAUGAGUUGUCACACUCAGUUCCAGCUUGGUCCUGCUUCCUGCAGUUCCAAGGCUGCUGGAACACCCUGUGCUCCCGGUCCUGUCCCCGGCUCAGUCACCAGAGGCUGAGGCAGAUGAGGGCUUCGGAUCAUCAGCAAGGCCAAAGGCAAAUCCAGGGGUUCUCACCCCUUCCCAGCCCCAAGGGCCGCUCUCUGAUGUGGGAGAGCCGGCUGUGCAGCCCCCAAAGCUCCCUGGAGCUCUGGCAGUGGAGGAUGGGGCAGGUGCUGCCCUGCCUUGGCGCUCCCGCCCAGGGUGACGGGGCUGCAGGUGGAGAAGGGCAGGAGGGAGAUGCUGGAUACAGAAAUCCCUGUACCAGGAGCAGCAGAAGAGCACACAGGCAUUGCAAAUGCCGAGUCUGGCCACACCGUGUCCCCCUCUAAGCGCUGCAGACGCUGCUUUUUCUCGCAGGCGCUCAAACCUGGGGAAAAUGAAACUAUCAAUAAUGCACCUGUCCCCGCACUCCCCGCUCCCAGGCUGGCGCAGACGAGCGCUGAGUCACCCCAUGUUUAAUUCAACGCUCUCAGCGCCACAGCCCUGGCUACAAACCCAUCCAGUGCUUACAUUAUGCACUCGCUGAAAUUUUUGUUGGACAUGGAUUUCACGCUUCAUGUUCAGGGCAGGAUUCCCGUCCCACCCCACAUUCGCUCUGCUGGCUGGGGAGGGAUGAGCCCAGACCCUGCUCCAUG